UUGGUUCUUUCUUUGCAGAUCCCAACUAAUUCAUCUGGCCUCAUUGAGUAUAGAGCUCAUCCUUUCUGGCUACAAAAGUACUGCCCAUCUCAUGAGCUUGAUGGCACUCCUCGUUGCUGUAGCUGCGAAAGAAUGGAGGUCAGUAAUAUUAGCUCCCGAAACAUUUCAUCCUAUUGUUAACAAUUAGGAGCUAACUGAUGGAUCCCGUUCCUUUCCUCGCUCGCCCCCUUCUGUCUUUUUGUCUUUUCAAUCAGUGCAGCCAAGGGAUGCAAAAUAUCUUUUGCUUGAUGAUGGUCGAAAGCUAUGUUUAGAGUGUCUAGACUCAUCAAUUAUGGAUACUCAUGAAUGCCAACCUCUCUACCUUGAAAUACAAGAAUUUUAUGAAGGUUUAAAUAUGAAAUUGGAGCAGCAAAUUCCUAUGCUCUUGGUUGAGAGACAAGCUCUGAAUGAGGCCAUGGAGGGAGAAAAAAAUGCAAGUCUGCAUGAAUUUAACUUUCAAUUUCAUUCAUGGAAUGUUAUUUCUAUCCUUUCUUUCCCUGUUUUUCUAUUAUCCUGACUAACUUUGAGAUGUUCUUUUGUUUCUAUCUGUUGAAUGUAGGGUCAUCACCACUUACCUGAAACUAGAGGACUCUGCUUGUCAGAAGAGCAAACUGUGACUACUGUAGGAUUUCUUUGCAAACUGAGUCUUUACACAUUUAAUUCCGCUAUGGAAGAUCAGUUUAUCAAAUACUGAACUUAUUACUUUAAUAUGUUUCAUAUAAUACUAGAUUUCAAGGAGGCCAAAGAUCGGAGCCGGCUACCAAGUCAUAGACAUGAUAACUGAACCUUAUAAGCUGAUCCGUCGCUGUGAAGUGACAGCCAUUCUAGUUUUGUAUGGCCUUCCUAGGUAUCCUUCGUAUGCAAUCUACUUUCAUACUUCUACAAUACUAGUAUAUGACAUUCCCCAGAUAGAAUUCAAGAAUUUUAUGUUUAUAGGUUGUUAACAGGAUCAAUCCUAGCUCACGAGAUGAUGCAUGCAUGGCUUAGGUUUAAAGGUAUUCAGCCUUUAACAUGAUGCAGAAAGUUUAUAUUUUUUCUUUCAAGAUGCCAAGUUGGAUAAGUUUCCGGUUUUUUGACAGGUUAUCCUAACCUCAGUCCGGAAGUUGAAGAAGGAAUCUGCCAAGUCUUGGCUCAUAUGUGGUUAGAUUCAGAGCUGUAUACCGGAUCUGGGAAUGGCGGUGCAUCAUCAUCCUCGUCUUCAUCUUCAUCAUCACCUUCCUCCUCUUCUGCAUCAUCAAAGAAGGGUAAACGUUCCGAUUUUGAGAAGAAACUCGGUGAGUUUUUUAAACACCAGAUUGAGUCAGAUACCUCCUCAGCUUAUGGAGAUGGAUUCAGAUCGGGUAACCAAGCAAUGCUCAAGUAUGGCCUCAAAAGCACCCUUGACCAUAUCCA
rnacentral:lncRNA from 1 species